rnacentral:rRNA from 2 species
AAUCUUCCGCAAUGGACGAAAGUCUGACGGAGCAACGCCGCGUGAGCGAUGAAGGCCUUCGGGUCGUAAAGCUCUGUUGUCAGGGAAGAACAAGUACCGGAGUAACUGCCGGUACCUUGACGGUACCUGACCAGAAAGCCACGGCUAACUACGUGCCAGCAGCCGCGGUAAUACGUAGGUGGCAAGCGUUGUCCGGAAUUAUUGGGCGUAAAGCGCGCGCAGGCGGUUCCUUAAGUCUGAUGUGAAAGCCCCCGGCUCAACCGGGGAGGGUCAUUGGAAACUGGGGAACUUGAGUGCAGAAGAGGAGAGCGGAAUUCCACGUGUAGCGGUGAAAUGCGUAGAGAUGUGGAGGAACACCAGUGGCGAAGGCGGCUCUCUGGUCUGUAACUGACGCUGAGGCGCGAAAGCGUGGGGAGCGAACAGGAUUAGAUACCCUGGUAGUCCACGCCGUAAACGAUGAGUGCUAAGUGUUAGAGGGUUUCCGCCCUUUAGUGCUGCAGCAAACGCAUUAAGCACUCCGCCUGGGGAGUACGGCCGCAAGGCUGAAACUCAAAGGAAUUGACGGGGGCCCGCACAAGCGGUGGAGCAUGUGGUUUAAUUCGAAGCAACGCGAAGAACCUUACCAGGUCUUGACAUCCUCUGACAACCCUAGAGA